ACUCAUUUUUAAAGUCAGGAGAAGAGAAAAGAGGAAAAGCACAAUGUUUGAUCCCUAGCUCCUUCAGUGGCUCAGGAGCAAGAAGUUAAUUCACGCUCACGUUAAAUAUGGUGGUGGAGAUCCUUACUCUAUGGCAACAGCGUGGGUUCUGAGAGCAUGUGGAAUGUUGAAGCCCUUCUAUGCUGAAUUCCCAAGCUCUGGCAGAAAGCAGGACACGACAUUCUUUGCGUGAAUGUGGGAGAAGUAUUCCAAUGAUCUAUAAGGGAAAAGAAAGUGAUAUGCAGUGACAUCAGGGACAGCAGUGUGCCUCAAUGUAGAGGGCUGUCUGGAUCACUCCCCUCGCUGGGAAUGAAAACCCUCUCUAUUUGGAAAACAGGGUGAAGCUCGUACAUUCCAGCACGGGAUACUGCCUCACUCCCUGUGGACAGCAGUGACGCGGACGUGAAACCCAAGGGGAACAGACAACACCCGGGGCUGGAGCCCCUACCAGCCCCGGCACCAUGAACACUGGGGUGUCCACUGACCUACGGAAAGGCUGGAGCCCCAAUCGCUGUGCUGUAAGAACCACCAUGAGAUCAGGAUUAUUGGAGUGGUUAAGAGUCCAGCCUGCUCAUGAUCUUUAGAAGCUUCCCCACUGCUGAAUUAGAGCGUCCCUGCUCCCAGGCACAGGUGGGGUACAGGGCCUCACUCUUUCUAGGUUGACCCCUAUUAAAAACGCCUGCCCUGGUGUUUCACCUACAAGUUCAGGGUUUUAGAAGGAUAAGGCCUGUGGCCUGCGAUGAUGCCCGCGCCCAUGUGCCUCCCUCCCCACCCCUGGUUUACAGGAGACCCUAAAGUGAAAUGCUGUUGCCCCCCACCCCAGCCCACUCCUCUAGGCAGGCAAUUUUCUUCUCCUUGUUCAUGUUUCCAAAACAGUUUAUCUUUUUAUCUCCUUGGAAGAAAAGUACUCUGCAAAUCAAAGGUAUCAUUAGUAUUGUUAUUAUUUUGCUAUUGAAAUCUCUUGAAUUCAC